GGCCUCAGUGGUGUAGUGGUAGCACGAGCCUUCAGUAGGAUGAAACGCGGGUUCAACUCCCGCGUGAGUUCG